GGUCAGGACGAACGCUGGCGGCGUGCUUAACACAUGCAAGUCGAACGGUGAAGCGGAGCUUGCUCUGCGGAUCAGUGGCGAACGGGUGAGUAACACGUGAGCAACCUACCCUUGACUCUGGGAUAACAGUUGGAAACAGCUGCUAAUACCGGAUAUGACCCUGAUGGACAUCCACUGGGGUGGAAAGCUCCGACGGUCAAGGAUGGGCUCGCGGCCUAUCAGCUUGUUGGUGAGGUAACGGCUCACCAAGGCGUCGACGGGUAGCCGGCCUGAGAGGGCGACCGGCCACACUGGGACUGAGAUACGGCCCAGACUCCUACGGGAGGCAGCAGUGGGGAAUAUUGCACAAUGGGCGAAAGCCUGAUGCCAGCAACGCCGCGUGCGGGAUGACGGCCUUCGGGUUGUAAACCGCUUUCAGCAGGGACGAAGGGUUUCUGACGGUACCUGCAGAAGAAGCACCGGCUAACUACGUGCCAGCCGCUGC
rnacentral:rRNA from 1 species